AGACAUAAUGGCAAUGGAACGACCAUCAAUCUCAACAUGUCUGAUUGUAACAGACCCUUGGCCCCCUUUGUUGGGUUUAUUUUUUCCUUUAGCCAUUUUACAGCUAGAACAAACGGUGAGUCAUCAGCAACAAUAAAAUACCCAGCAGCAUCAUCAGCACCAAACCAACCCAGCACCUACAGCAGCCACAGCCCCAAACAAAACCCAACAAAUAGACCCAACGUAAACCCACACAAAAGUUACCCAGUGUGAACAAAAAUUGCAACAGUAAACCCAGAAACAGAGCAAGAUCAGCAUCAAGCCCAGUGCAUAUUGUAAGUUAUUUCCAAAAAA
rnacentral:lncRNA from 1 species